AGGCGGUUACGAGGGGCACUAAGUGCAACGGAUCGAUUGAAACCGCGCUGUCUUUUUGAAAUGGGAUAGCCCUCACAUUUUUUUACGAUGCGAGUGUUUCGCUGCAAUGUAACCGCGUGAGCCGCAUCGUGUAUUUCGGGAUGUUCUAGCGUGCGGUGUUCCACCGAGGCCCGGAGAAUCGGCACCGCUCAAGUUAAAUAUUCUGCUCGUGUCUUUCCUGUCGUAGCACUGGAGACACUGAUGUGCUAAUGUGAGAGAGAAGAAAGCACAGAAGAGAACUUAUCCUGGCACCGCGACUUGAGGACUAUAGGCAUGAACCAGCAUCUCGAGGGGCGGAAUAAUUACCUGUCUCGUUCACGGAAGCGUUAACACAGUGGAUUUCAGCCAGAACAACACUUUGACUCAAUCUACGGCCAGGAGCAGGAAAAAAGAUAUGUCCGAGAUGUUGAGAAAAAAAAUCCCCAUGUGGGCUGAUCCGGGUGAUAGUACAGAAAAGGUGCAAGCACAAGGGCCAUACCCUUGUGGGCUCGGGAACCUGUAACGCGGCCUUGAACUACCCUUGUCACACGUCGGACACACGCGUCAAAAUGUCAGCGUAUAUGUUUGAAG